rnacentral:rRNA from 1 species
CCUACGGGUGGCUGCAGUAGGGAAUCUUCCACAAUGGGCGAAAGCCUGAUGGAGCAACGCCGCGUGGGUGAAGAAGGUCUUCGGAGCGUAAAACCCUGUUGGUAGAGAAGAAAGUGCGUGAGAGUAACUGUUCACGUUUCGACGGUAUCUAACCAGAAAGCCACGGCUAACUACGUGCCAGCAGCCGCGGUAAUACGUAGGUGGCAAGCGUUAUCCGGAUUUAUUGGGCGUAAAGGGAACGCAGGCGGUCUUUUAAGUCUGAUGUGAAAGCCUUCGGCUUAACCGGAGUAGUGCAUUGGAUACUGGGAGACUAGAGAGCAGAAGCGGAGAGCGGAACGUAAGGUGUAGCGGUGAAAUGCGUAGAGAUAAGGCAGAACACCAGUGGCGAAGGCGGCUCUCUGGUCUGUAACUGACAUUGAUGCUCGAAAGUGUGGGUAGCAAACAGGAUUAGAUACCCUUGUAGUC